UAGGGAAUCUUCCACAAUGGACGAAAGUACUGAUGGAGCAACGCGCGUGAGUGAAGAAGGGUUUCGGCUCGUAAAACUCUGUUGUUAAAGAAGAACAUAUCUGAGAGUAACUGUUCAGGUAUUGACGGUAUUUAACCAGAAAGCCACGGCUAACUACGUGCCAG
rnacentral:rRNA from 1 species